rnacentral:rRNA from 1 species
UACGUAGGGUGCGAGCGUUGUCCGGAUUUAUUGGGCGUAAAGAGCUUGUAGGCGGUUUGUCGCGUCUGCUGUGAAAAUCCGGGGCUCAACCCCGGACUUGCAGUGGGUACGGGGCAGACUAGAGUGUGGUAGGGGAGACUGGAAUUCCUGGUGUAGCGGUGAAAUGCGCAGAUAUCAGGAGGAACACCGAUGGCGAAGGCAGGUCUCUGGGCCACUACUGACGCUGAGAAGCAAAAGCAUGGGGAGCGAACAGG